rnacentral:piRNA from 1 species
UGGCAUACAGGAGUUGCUGCACAAGCCUGG